UACGUAGGGGGGCAAGCGUUGUCCGGAUUUACUGGGCGUAAAGAGCGUGUAGGCGGCCAAACAGGUCCGUUGUGAAAACUGGAGGCUCAACCUCCAGACGUCGACGGAAACCGUAUGGCUAGAGUCCGGAAGAGGAGAGUGGAAUUCCUGGUGUAGCGGUGAAAUGCGCAGAUAUCAGGAAGAACACCAAUGGCGAAGGCAGCUCUCUGGGACGGUACUGACGCUGAGACGCGAAAGCGUGGGGAGCGAACAGG
rnacentral:rRNA from 1 species